UGGCUGUCAGGCCCUGGAAACAUGGUCCUGGAGCCUGCCUGUGUUCCUUGGCUCGUGGCCUUGCCCUCCUCCGUCAAAGCCAGCAAGCAGUUGGUCACCAGCAUUAAAAGGUUGGGAGAUUUCAAGCGCCUCCUGAAAAGGACAUCAGUCA